AGGGAGAAAGGAGCAGGGCUCAGAGCCUGGUGCUGUGGUGGUACGGAGGUGAUGGUAGGGAAAUCACCCAAGGACUGAGUACGUGAAUGCCAUAGUGGUAGGGGAACUCACCAGCAGUUCAAGGGGCUUAAGUGGAGAACAACAGUAUGUAGGAUAAUGAGUAUGAAGGUGAGGAAAGGAAGAUGGAAAGGAGCUGACUACCUACUGGCAAUGCUGAUUUAUUAGACACCAUGGGCUGUCACAGCCAAGCAGGAGGCUUGGCUUCCUUCCCUGGAGUUACCCCCUUUUUACUGUAGUGGCUACAAAUCCCAUCUUCAGGUUCCAGUGGGCACCCAUCCAUCACCCAGGCACUGGUGGAUAACCAGGCAGGAGGCAUAUCCCCUUCUCAUGCCAAAACAACUUCCAGCUCCAGCAAAAGGGUCCUGAAACCAGGCAGGUACUGCUUACUCAGAGAGCUGUGGCCAAACCAUGCCUGCUGCUGCCCCCACACAGAGCACCUCAGACAUGAGAAUAAAGCUUUGCCAGCAGCAGGCUCUUCUUGUGACAAAGCACAGCGUGUUCUGCAGCCAGGAUGAGAGACGGGAGAAGCCGGGAUGAGAGGCUGCUGUGAGUUUGCAAGUGACUGUCAUUGUCUGUUUUGUAAUCCUGGGUCAUUGCAAGUAGUUUUAAAUUGAUUUGUCCCCGUGCAAGCAUCACUGUCCAAUUCAGAAAAGCCACAUUCUCCUCUGUGCCUCUUAGGCAAGCGUAAGUCUCUACCACGCAAAAGUUGAAUAGUGCAAUCUUUGUCAAGCCUCUUUUUCCUCUGGGUUGCACAGUUUAGGAUAUGUUUUGAGAAGUGGAGAUUGCUUAUAUAUCAAGGGAAAAAGUUGCCUGCCUUUAGCAUGCCUGUUUUGGCUGUAGCUGAGAUAGAUACUCUCCCGUGCUGGUUUGAAUCUAACUGCUACAUUAAUAAAUCAUCAGCAGCAGCCCUGUUGGGGAGGAAUGCUGAUCACCCCUAAUGCGUGCCCAGAGACACUGACUUCUGGGCUGUUAGGACACCCUGCUGUCCCAGGAGGCUGAGAGAUGCCACAUUUUCCCUUCUCUCAGCAGAUGCUGAAGACAUUGAGCUGGCAGGAUAAACUGUGAAUCUAACUCUGCUCCAGCUAUGCACUGGUUUGAGCAUCCCCAGUGCUUCAAGUUAUUACAGCUCCUGAGGCAGACUCUGAAUGUGAAAUAGGUGCCACAGCUCCUUCUUGGAAUAAAAUAGAUAAAAAAUCAAUGCAAUUGAAAGAGAAAUAAAAAGUAAUGUCUGGUAGCACUAAUAUUCCUCCAUGAAAGACUGCAAGUGUGGAGCCUCUCAUGGCAACCUUGGUUAAGAAAAACAUCUUGCUUUAGAGGGAGAUUGAAGAGCUAAGAAGAUGACCUCUGGGUGAUAAGCAUAAUUACUGAUGUACCCAUGGAGCUUUAUGUAUGUGACUUAAAGCAGAAAAAUAAGGACCUGGCCUGGGAUCAUAAAUUCAAACCUAAUCUGAGAAGUAACAGAGCUUCUUGGGUGCGGGCAGAAGGUGUGAAUCUGUGUUAGCUCAGGUGUCACACUGCUGCUGGGAGACCUACUCCAUAAGUUUUACCCACUGAUUUUAGUGGAAGCAAGAUCAAUUGUGUCUUUGGGCUCCUGUGUGGGAAUGAGAUUAUGUGGAAUAUUAAUUUGGCUUGCAAUGGGGCCUGACUGUAAUUUUCUGUCAGCAAAGGAGAAUUCAUGUAUUUCCAUAAAUUCAGAUACUUCCAUCUAUUCAUUCCACAUAUUCAUAGACAUUAUCUGAAUUCCCAGCUCUAGUUCAAACAAAAGUUAGUUCCUUUUACAAAUAAAUUAUUUUUCACUGCUGAUGAUAUUGCUAAUUUUUCUAGGCAAAUUUAUACAUUUGAACAAAGGAGACAAAAAGUAUCUUUGAUGUAGCAAAGCCUUUCUGAGAGCCUCACAGAAAGUAAAAGAGAAGAAGAUAGCCUGGAAAAAUUCAGGAAGGGAUGGGAAUGAUUCCAAGUUACCUUGUACUUAAUUGAAGUUCUCAGAAAUGUUCUUUUCUUGUUUUCUGUAUUGGAUCUCUUCCUUGAAGUACGCAUGAAUGCCUCUUCAAACUGGC